AUUGAACGCUGGCGGCACGCCUUACACAUGCAAGUCGAACGGUAACAGGCUAUAGCAAUAUAGUGCUGACGAGUGGCGAACGGGUGAGUAUAACAUCGGAACAUACCUUGUAGCGGGGGAUAACAAAUUGAAAGAUUUGCUAAUACCGCAUAACAUCUGAGGAUUAAAGCUGGGGACCGAAAGGCCUGGCACUACAAGAUUGGCCGAUGCCUGAUUAGCUAGUUGGUGAGGUAAGAGCUCACCAAGGCGACGAUCAGUAGCAGGUCUGAGAGGAUGAUCUGCCACACCGGAACUGAGAAACGGUCCGGACUCCUACGGGAGGCUG
rnacentral:rRNA from 1 species